GGCUAAUUAUGAUCUUUAAAACUGGAUUAUGGUGUUGCAGUCAUAUAAGAAAAAGCAAAUCUCACCUGGUGAAUUGAUGAGUGUGUCUGUACUCUGAACAUGAGUGGAUUAGCAACUUGUACUGUACAACAGGAUAUCAUGGGAUGCUUUUGAAGAGAUACCAUUAGGUGUUGCAGGAUAUCAUUGGUGGUGUGGUCUACUUUGUGUUCUUGGAUUUGCUAUGUGAAGAGAUCCCAUUACUAGAUUUUAAUUGUCAUUGUUUAUAUCUUUAACUAGCUACAACUAGUUUUUUUUGACUGUUAUUAAUUAUAUUAUUAGGGUUAGGGUUCUUAAAGAAAAAUCACAAAAAGUGUU
rnacentral:lncRNA from 1 species